GCCUCAGUAACGGCGAGUGAAGCGGCAACAGCUCAAAUUUGAAAUCUGUCUCUUUCAGGGACCGAGUUGUAAUUUGUAGAGGGUGCUUCGGGGUCGGCUCCGGUCUAAGUUCCUUGGAACAGGACGUCACAGAGGGUGAGAAUCCCGUACGUGGCCGGCCGUCUUCCUCAUGUGAAGCCCCUUCGACGAGUCGAGUUGUUUGGGAAUGCAGCUCUAAAUGGGAGGUAUAUUUCUUCUAAAGCUAAAUAUCGGCCGGAGACCGAUAGCGCACAAGUAGAGUGAUCGAAAGAUGAAAAGCACUUUGAAAAGAGAGUCAAAAAGUACGUGAAAUUGUUGAAAGGGAAGCGCUUGCGACCAGACUUGCCCGCAGUUGCUCAACCGGCCUUCUGGCUCGGUGCACUCUUCUGCGGUCAGGCCAGCAUCGGUUCGGGCGGUCGGAUAAAGACCUCGGGAAUGUGGCUCCCCUCGGGGAGUGUUAUAGCCCUUGGUGCAAUGCGGCCAGCCUGGACCGAGGACCGCGCUUCGGCUAGGAUGCUGGCGUAAUGGUCGUAAGCGGCCCGUCUUGAAACACGGACCAAGGAGUCUAACAUCUAUGCGAGUGUUUGGGCGUCAAACCCAUACGCGUAAUGAAAGUGAACGGAGGUGGGAACCCUUGGGUGCACCAUCGACCGAUCCCGAUGUCUUCGGAAGGAUUUGAGUAAGAGCAUAGCUGUUGGGACCCGAAAGAUGGUGAACUAUACCUGAAUAGGGUGAAGCCAGAGGAAACUCUGGUGGAGGCUCGCAGCGGUUCUGACGUGCAAAUCGAUCGUCAAAUUUGGGUAUAGGGGCGAAAGACUAAUCGAACCAU
rnacentral:rRNA from 1 species